AAAGGCUGUAGCUCAGCAGUAGAGCAUCUGCUUUGCAUGCAGAAGGUCCUAGGUUCAAUCCCUGGCAUCUUUA